rnacentral:rRNA from 1 species
UACGGAGGAUGCGAGCGUUAUCCGGAUUUAUUGGGUUUAAAGGGUGCGUAGGCGGGCUGUUAAGUCAGCGGUAAAAGCCCGGGGCUCAACCCCGGCGAGCCGUUGAAACUGGCUGUCUUGAGAUGUCGAGAGGUAUGCGGAAUGCGCAGUGUAGCGGUGGAAUGCUUAGAUAUUGCGCAGAACUCCGAUUGCGAAGGCAGCAUACCGGCGGCGAUCUGACGCUGAGGCACGAAAGCGUGGGUAUCGAACAGG